rnacentral:rRNA from 1 species
GACGAACGCUGGCGGCGUGCUUAACACAUGCAAGUCGAACGGUGAAGCGCCUUCCUUUUUGGUGGGUGUGGAUGAGUGGCGAACGGGUGAGUAACACGUGAGGAACCUGCCCCCUUCUUCUGGAUAACCUCAUGAAAGUGUGGCUAAUACGGGAUAUUCUGGGUCUGUCGCAUGAUGGGUCUGGGAAAGAUAUUGUUUCGGUGGGGGAUGGGCUCGCGGCCUAUCAGCUUGUUGGUGGGGUGCUGGACUACCAAGGCGGUGAGGAGUAGCCGGGCUGAGAGGGUGGACCGUAAUAGUGCGAAUACACGGCGGAGACGCCUACGACAGGCGGCAGCAGGGGGGAAUAUUGAACGAGGGGAGCAAGGCUGCUGCAACGACGCCGCGUGAGGGAUGGCGUCCGUCGGGUUGUGAACCUCUUUCGCCAGAGAAGCACGGCAGCCUCGUAUCUCGGUGGGUUGACGGUAGCUAAAUAAGAAGCGCCGGCUAACUACGUG